rnacentral:rRNA from 1 species
UACGUAGGGGGCAAGCGUUGUCCGGAAUCAUUGGGCGUAAAGCGCGUGUAGGCGGCUCAGUAAGUCCGCUCUGAAAGCCCGGGGCUCAACCCCGGGAGGCGGGUGGAUACUGCUGAGCUCGAGUCCGGAAGAGGAGUGUGGAAUUCCUGGUGUAGCGGUGAAAUGCGCAGAUAUCGAGGAGGAACACCAAUGGCGAAGGCAGCAGCUCUGGGACGGUAC